CAUUUUUAUGAUUUUCUGGUGGCGCAAAAAUAUAAACUCGCGUCACCACGUUUCGAAUGUUUCAUCUGCUAUAUUUGCACCACUCAAUUUACGCCACUGUACGUACACGCUACGAUAUGGGUACCGAAUUUCCUUUGAGCAAGAACAGUGUUUCGCUGUGCUGGUUCCGACAUUGAAAUGUGUCCAAAAUUUAACGUUGAACGCGGUGCCUACCUACUCGUAUCUCGUUUGAAAAUUAAAACAUCGAAAAAAUAGUGACGACGUUGUCCGGGUACGUUCUUAUCUUUAAGUUUGAUAAUAGGUCAAUUCGCUCCGAUAUUAGCAACGGACAAUAGCGCAAUAUCGUCACCGUCGAACGCGAAUUCGCCAUGCCGUACGUUUUGUAAGAACGGAGAUAACACAUACGCCCUCAGAACGUGAAAUUCGUCGACGGCUUCGGUUUUUUUUUUUUUUCGUUAUCGCGGUUCCGCAUUGAUUUUGUGUACCGCGGCACGUGGAUGUGCAUUACGUCCCAACAAAUACGAUACAGACGGUACAUAGAUGUGCUAUUUUUUUAU